rnacentral:misc_RNA from 1 species
GGGGAAUUUUCCGCAAUGGGCGAAAGCCUGACGGAGCAAUACCGCGUGAGGGAGGAAGGCUCUUGGGUUGUAAACCUCUUUUCUCAGGGAAUAAGAAAGUGAAGGUACCUGAGGAAUAAGCAUCGGCUAACUCCGUGCCAGCAGCCGCGGUAAUACGGAGGAUGCAAGCGUUAUCCGGAAUGAUUGGGCGUAAAGCGUCCGCAGGUGGCACUGUAAGUCUGCUGUUAAAGAGCAAGGCUCAACCUUGUAAAGGCAGUGGAAACUACAGAGCUAGAGUACGUUCGGGGCAGAGGGAAUUCCUGGUGUAGCGGUGAAAUGCGUAGAGAUCAGGAAGAACACCGGUGGCGAAAGCGCUCUGCUAGGCCGUAACUGACACUGAGGGACGAAAGCUAGGGGAGCGAAUGGGAUUAGAUACCCCAGUAGUCCUAGCCGUAAACGAUGGAUACUAGGCGUGGCUUGUAUCGACCCGAGCCGUGCCGGAGCCAACGCGUUAAGUAUCCCGCCUGGGGAGUACGCACGCAAGUGUGAAACUCAAAGGAAUUGACGGGGGCCCGCACAAGCGGUGGAGUAUGUGGUUUAAUUCGAUGCAACGCGAAGAACCUUACCAAGACUUGACAUGUCGCGAAUCUUCUUGAAAGGGGAGAGUGCCUUCGGGAGCACGAACACAGGUGGUGCAUGGCUGUCGUCAGCUCGUGUCGUGAGAUGUUGGGUUAAGUCCCGCAACGAGCGCAACCCUCGUUUUUAGUUGCCAGCAUUAAGUUGGGCACUCUAGAGAGACUGCCGGUGACAAACCGGAGGAAGGUGGGGAUGACGUCAAGUCAGCAUGCCCCUUACGUCUUGGGCUACACACGUACUACAAUGCUACGGACAGAGGGCAGCAAGCUAGCGAUAGCAAGCAAAUCCCGUAAACCGUAGCUCAGUUCAGAUCGCAGGCUGCAACUCGCCUGCGUGAAGGAGGAAUCGCUAGUAAUUGCAGGUCAGCAUACUGCAGUGAAUUCGUUCCCGGGCCUUGUACACACCGCCCGUCACACCAUGGAAGCUGGCAACGCCCGAAGUCAUUACUCCAACCAUUCGUGGGGGAGGAUGCCUAAGGCAGUGCUGGUGACUGGGGUGAAGUCGUAACAAGGUAGCCGUACCGGAAGGUGUGGCUGGAUCACCUCCUUUUAGGGAGACCUACCCAACUGAGAAUCGAAAGCACAGAGCAAAUAGAUGAACAGAUGGUCUACUCUAGGUCGGUCGAGAUUGGUAAAAGCUUUCAAAGUAUUACUUGUUCCGGUUUACAGUUUACUCACUUAGAUAGUUUAUUUAGAUAGAAACAAUCCAGCAACUAACGGAAGUUAGACUGCUGGGUAAAACCUAGCCAGAACCUUGAAAACUGCAUAAAAACGCGAUUAGAUUAGCAGGCAGACACAGACAAACUGUGAAUGCAGGAUAAAACCAAUGAGAAAGUGGUCAAGCUAAUAAGGGCUAAUGGUGGAUACCUAGGCACACAGAG